rnacentral:rRNA from 1 species
UACGGGGGGAGCAAGCGUUGUUCGGAUUUACUGGGCGUAAAGGGCGCGUAGGCGGCGUGACAAGUCACUUGUGAAAUCUCCGGGCUUAACUCGGAACGGUCAAGUGAUACUGUCGUGCUAGAGUACAGAAGGGGCAACUGGAAUUCUCGGUGUAGCGGUGAAAUGCGUAGAUAUCGAGAGGAACACCUGCGGCGAAGGCGGGUUGCUGGGCUGACACCGAGCUGAGGCGCGAAAGCUAGGGGAGCGAACGGG